UGGUCAAGUUAUUAAGGGUGCAGGGCGGAUGCCUUGGCACUAGGAGCCGAUGAAGGACGUGAUAAGCUGCGAUAAGCUUCGGGGAGUUGCACGUAAACUUUGAUCCGAAGAUUUCCGAAUGAGGAAACUCACUUAGAGUAAUGUCUAAGUAUCAUUAAGUGAAUACAUAGCUUAAUGAG
rnacentral:rRNA from 1 species